AACAGUCAAACUCCUUCAUAUGUAUUUUCUAGGAUCUUCAUAUCGAGUUCCCUGAAGGAGUCAAGUUAUCCCUUUCCUAAAACCAUUCUGUUACAGUGAGAGUAUAUAAUAAGGUUCUGUAGAAAUGAGAAAACAAACAUCCUUGAACAGUCAAACUCCUACACAUGUAUUUUUCAGAAUCUUUGUAUUGAGUUUCCUGAAAGAGUCAUUAUCCCUUUCCUAAAACCAUUCUGUUACAGUGAGAGUAUAUAAUAAGGUUCUGUAGAAAUGAGGAAACAAACAUCCUUGAACAGUCAAACUCCUUCAUAUGUAUUUUCUAGGAUCUUCAUAUCGAGUUCCCUGAAGGAGUCAAGUUAUCCCUUUCCUAAAACCAUUCUGUUACAGUGAGAGUAUAUAAUAAGGUUCUGUAGAAAUGAGAAAACAAACAUCCUUGAACAGUCAAACUCCUACAUAUGUAUUUUUCAGAAUCUUUGUAUUGAGUUACCUGAAAGAGUCAUUAUCCCUUUCCUAAAACCAUUCUGUUACAGUGAGAGUAUAUAAUAAGGUUCUGUAGAAAUGAGGAAACAAACAUCCUUGAACAGUCAAACUCCUACACUUGUAUUUUUCAGAAUCUUUGUAUUGAGUUACCUGAAAGAGUCAUUAUCCCUUUCCUAAAACCAUUCUGUUACAGUGAGAGUAUAUAAUAAGGUUCUGUAGAAAUGAGAAAACAAACAUCCUUGAACAGUCAAACUCCUUCGCUUGUAUUUUUCAGAAUCUUUGUAUUGAGUUUCCUGAAAGAGUCAAGUUAUCCCUUUCCUAAAACCAUUCUGUUACAGUGAGAGUAUAUAAUAAGGUUCUGUAGAAAUGAGAAAACAAACAUCCUUGAACAGUCAAACUCCUUCACUUGUAUUUUUCAGAAUCUUUGUAUUGAGUUACCUGAAAGAGUUGAGUUUUUCCUUUCGUAAAAUUUUGUUAAGUUAGUUACACUCUGCAUAUGAGGCGUUUAGUGUAAAAGAGUUGACCUGUCACUUCUAUAUGCUCCUGAAAGAGUUGAGUUUUUCCUUUCGUAAAAUUUUGUUAAGUUUGCUACACUCUGCAUAUGAGGCGUAUAGUGUAAAAGAGUUGACCUGCCACUUCUAUAUGCUUCAAUACACCACUUCAGAAAGGCUACACACAUAGGGAUUGAACUGCCCUAUGCUGUACAAUACAUAGAAAGCCUGUAUAAGGAGUGGCCGCAAAGGUGACUUGGAAUACUAAUUUUAAAGACUUGUAGCUCUCAUCUGUGGCUGGACCUCAGAGUUACGUCAAUGCACCGAGAGGCUUAGGCAAGGCACGCAUGAUUUUAUAAACGUCAUAUUAGUAUUUAUUAAGAGUUAUGUGGUGGUGUGUCUUAUUCAACCCGUUUUUCAAGGUGUGGUUUGUAUUGCUUUGUAUGAAAAAUUAUCUUGAAUCCUUAUAAAUCUGUGGGUUUCGUU